CACACAACACUCAACUCAGUCAAGAAGAAAGCAUUUCUCUCCUUUCAGACUCAGAAAAAAAUAUAUGAAAAUUUGGGCCAUUUUAACAACAUUAAACUGCAAGUCACCUGAAUUAAUUUUUACAUCAGCAGCAACGAAUGAAAGUUUGGAGAAAUAUGUUGAUUUGAAGAGUAAUUUUCAUUAUCAACUUCAAUGUUAGUCACUUUCAUUAAAAGCAUCAAAGAUCAUUUGUGAGCAAACACAAUAACUGCAGGAAUUCAUUACAAUUAUUGAUGCCAGCAUGAGACAAUGGGGUGAAAAUUAUGUUUUAAAAAAAAUUGAAAACAUUACUUUUGGCUUGUAUGUCUACUAUAACUUUAAAAAUAACUUUUACAAAUUUUAACAAAAAUGCAAUUAAGUAUCCAUAAUUUCCAGUUUUAAAAUAUCUGCAGGCUUUACUUGAAAAUCAAUGCACUAAUCUGAAAAUUUAAGUUUAAACUGUCUUAAAUUUUCAAGUAAAAUCAAAGUAAUGCCAAAAUGACAAACUAAUGCAAAUUUUAUUUCAGAGCAUAUUUUUAAACAUUUAGAAUUUAAUUAUCAUUGAGGAAAAAAAGAGUUCAAGCUCUGAAAACUCAUAUUCAAAAUCAAUUUGAAAUAACAGAAGUGAUUAUAAUUCACUGGAUGAAAACAAAAAUUCCAUUGACAAUGAAAACCAUAUUUACAAUGUUGACUGCCAAACAUUCAAACUAAAAAAUAAAAUUCAAUAAAUGAGUGUAAAAGUGCAUGUUCUCAAAGUCUCACAGGAGAGAUUCUGGUUAAUAUACUAAUAUUUGUCUUGUAGAUUUAUUCAGAAGUGAAUGAUCUGAUACAAUUUAUAAUAGACUGGCUAUUAGAAGAUUAAAUAUUGUGAAAAAGAUUCAUUUUUCUCAUUUCAGUAAUUGUGUCUCUGUUAAUGAGUGACUGUCUUCAGGUAAAUGAUCUGGAGUGUGUUUGCAUAUUGAUCAGAUGCUUCAGUGCUCUGAGAGUGUUUAUAGUGCUGUGAGUUUAACACUUCAUCACUGACACACACAACAAUCUUCAUCAACAUGACCUUCAUCAUCAUCUUCAUCUGGACACUUUCAUGCUGCUUUAUACUACAAGGGUGUAAAGCUCAGAUCACAGUCACUCAGACUCCUUCAGUGAAAACUGCCACACCAGAAGAACGUGUUGAGAUGAGCUGUAAAUUCAGUUCUGCUCCAGGCUGCAGCCCACCCUGUGUGUCCUGGUACUUACAGAAACCCGGAGAAGCUCCUAAACUCCUGAUUUAUUAUACAAACCGCCUCGAGUCAGGAACUCCAUCUAGAUUCAGUGGCAGUGGAUCUGGGACUGAUUUCACUCUGACCAUCAGUGGAGUCCAGACUGAAGAUGCUGGACAUUAUUACUGUCAGAGUUACCACUGGGUCAACAGUAAAGCUGUGUUCACACAGUGAUAAAGAGUCGUACAAAAACCUCCGUCAGUCAGAGUCACAGUGACUGAACUGAUCCUGCAGCUGCUCAAAUACUUAUUUCUCAGCCUCAGAUGUCAUGACCACGGACCCUUGGCUAAACAUCUGAUGCACAUGGCACACAAAAGUGGAAACACUUCAGGAGUUUUGAAGUUGUCGUCGGAUUGGUUGAAUUAUACAGGAUUUCCGGGAGACGUGUGUGUCGCGUCCUUUAACAUUCUGCCUGGAAACAAAGAUGCCGUGACACCAAACCCCUCACGAACGAAGAAAGCCGUCGUGUUUACAAUUGUGACGACAAGCGCUUAUCAGGAUCAACUAGUAUGUGAAAUAUUUAAAGUUUACGGCAUAGAAUCUUUAAAAUACGUCUGAGAGUCUGUUAUUGUGGCGACAUUUCCACGCCCAGAAACAUGACGCUGAACGACACGAACUGUGAUUGGUUAUUUGACAUGUUGGUCAAACAGUCUUAUGGUCAGUCUGAAGGUCUGGCUACGCGAGACUGCUCAAGCACUAUCACUCACUACUGACACACAGAGACAAACACAGCAACUACACAUGAGCUCAGAACUGGGUGAAGAGUGAAAUCAGCUCUAUUAGACUGAGAUCUGUCCUGUGACAGACAGGUUUGACUCACUUAUGCUCAGAAUCAGAGAAAGCGAAGUGUGUAAAUUGACAUAAAAUCAAACAAACAAUAAUGGCGUAAUAUUUGUUUUGAUUUUGUACAAUACACUCAUCUUAUUAUACAGUCAUACAGUAAAGCCAUUGUGUAGCACCAGCAUCAUAAACAUGUUAUUGAGCAGUUUCUCAAGUAGCUCCUUCAUCUCAAGUUAAUAAAGAUGCUGUAAUUCAUAAUUCAUUUCUCAUAACUACUGACAAAUUGAAACAACUUAAAAAAUCUACGUAUGAUCACAUUUUUAUUAAAACAUCUACAUUCCAGGUUUCUAAAUUAUCAAUG